UAAAAGAUGGCACUCCGAAUAUGCCA
rnacentral:sRNA from 1 species